GUAUUGGCUCACCUUAAAUAUAUAAGUACUUUUAUUGAAAAAUAAAUGGAUAUACUUGGUGUAAUAUUUAUUAUUCAUUGAGGAGUGUGGUGCCUUAAAAACACUACAGCCAUUUGAACUUUGAUAGAUAGCUUCCGAACCCUAAUAUAUAUAUAUAUCUUUUAGACCUCAAAUCAGGUGGGACUACCCGCUGAACUUAA
rnacentral:misc_RNA from 1 species